rnacentral:lncRNA from 1 species
CUCAAUUUUUUUCUAAAUAAGAUCCAAGUUCAAGAUCAGUUAGACAUUAAAGAAGUCAUGUUUUAUAAUUUUAAUGGCAAUUCAAACACCAUAGUUGUUAGAAGGCCUCCUCUGUUUUUCUGAGUUUGUUUGUUUGAAGCAUGGUCUUGUUCUGUAGCUCAAACUUGCCUUGAACUUGUAUCCUUCUUCGUCAGUCUCCUCGGUGCUGGGAUUACAGGAAUACACCACUGGAUCCAGAUUCUCCACUGCUCUUUUAAUCAAGUUAACAGAGAGGACACAAUGUUAUAUAGUCUGACCAGAACUGAGCAGCAAUGAAACUGGUUAUGGUGCCAUGUUCGUGUGAUGGGCCAUGAGCAAGACCUCUGGUCAAGUACUCAAC